rnacentral:lncRNA from 1 species
GUAUAUGUUUGAGAUAGUAUGACGUCACAUUUUUUUAGAACACGCCGAUCACCGAGAGGAAAAAAAUUGAGAAAAUUGACUUUCAUUAUUGCUCACAUUUCGUCAUCAUGAGUGAGCAAACAUCCACUAAGCAGCGCACAUAUCAGAUCUCCUAGAUGCUGAAGUUGAGGUGGCGAGGAAUUUGGACAUUGUGAACUGAACGUGUGCUUGCCGUCAAAAAUAAAUCUUGCCAAGAAAGGUUUUCACAUAAUAUUUUCUAAAAUUUAACUAAUUGCAAUUAAACUCUUAAGUUUUAAUUGGUUGUUUUAUGAAAAUCUGUUAAUUGCUUCAAUUUGCAAAUAAUUAUGCUAAAGCACUCCAAUUGAUGCUAUCAGAUCCUGUGGUAUGCAAUAAUUUUAAAUAGUCCGGUUCGUUCAAAUCAUUUAAUUGGAACUGGAUUUAUUUUGGAACAUAUAAUAAUUCUGAGCUCCAUGAAAAGGUAUUGUAUCUUUUUGUAGAAAGUAAAUGUCCCUCUUAAAUCUCUCAAUGAAAAGUUAUUCAAAGAAAAAAAGCAUGACCAAGGCAAAAAGACUCGAAUGAAGCAAUGUCAUUCUUCAGAAGGUGAGAACUGGCACAGCUCCUAACAUUGUGUACAGUGAUUAGGAGAUGUAUCCUGUGGAACAAGCAUUUAACCUUCAAAAUUCUGUCCGAAAAAGGUAAGCUGAGUAACCAUGGAGUUGAUAGAGUGCAGAAGCCACAGUCUUUGAUGAUAUGGGCAGCCCUGACUGAGACAAGGUUUGUGCCGGCCAGGGUGAAGAUCAACACAAAGGAGUACAUCAGCAGCAUCAUGGAGGAAGGUCUUGUUCCCUAGCCCAACAGCACUUCCAAAAUGAACCAUAGACCUUCCAAUAUGAUGGUGCCCCCUCCCACACAUCCAGUGGUGUGAGGACAAUUUGUGUGUCUUCAGAGGAAAAAAGACUCCCUCCUCCAUCCCCGACCUAAAGGUCAUGUAUUACUCCAUGUGAUCCAUUCUUGAGAACAAAGCCUGUGUGACCCCUAGCAAGAAUUGGGAUGACCUGAAGCCCAAACUGGUGGCUGCCUAGAACUCCGUUCCAAUGGAAAUGGUCCUUGUAGCAUACAAGAGAGACUUCAGGCCGUGGGCAAGGCUAAGGGUGACCUUUUUCUAUGAAAGUUAUGUAGCAUGCUUUUGAAACUUGUGUCGACCUAUUUUUAUAAUUAUAUAUAGAUUAUGUAAUUUUUUAUAUCAUUAGUACUUUAAUAAAUAUUUAA